AAUGAACGCUGGCGGCAGGCCUAACACAUGCAAGUCGAACGGAUCCUUCGGGAUUAGUGGCGGACGGGUGAGUAACGCGUGGGAACAUACCCCUUGGUACGGAAUAGCCUCGGGAAACUGGGAGUAAUACGGUAUGCGGUUGAGAGACGCAAGAUUUAUCGCCAAAGGAUUGGCUCGCGUUGGAUUAGGUAGUUGGUUGGGUAAUGGCCUACCAAGCCGACGAUCCAUAGCUGGUUUGAGAGGAAGGAUCAGCCACACUGGGACUGAGACACGGCCCAGACUCCUACGGGAGGCAGCAGUGGGGAAUCUUAGACAAUGGGGGAAACCCUGAUCUAGCCAUGCCGCGUGAUCGAUGAAGGCCUUAGGGUUGUAAAGAUCUUUCAGGUGGGAAGAUAAUGACUGUACCACCAGAAGAAGCCCCGGCUAACUCCGUGCCAGCAGCCGCAGUAA
rnacentral:rRNA from 1 species